rnacentral:rRNA from 1 species
UCUGGUGUCGAUACGUCUGAGGGGAACACCCGUACCCAUCCCGAACACGACGGUUAAGACUCAGGCGGCCGAAGGUACUAUGCUGGUAACGGCAUGGGAGAACAGGCGGAUGCCAGAU